rnacentral:rRNA from 1 species
AUGGACCAUUCCAUCCCUUUUUCCCGUGCAUAUGCAUCGGACUCGGAUGACGAUGGUCCCGAUGAACAAGUUGAUGCGGAGGGGUUCACGGUGAAGGAGGCCGAAGCUUUCGAGAAGGUAUUUGGUCGGGAUCAUCGGACUACAUUGUUCAAGGAUGUUAGUCUCGCGGAUGAAGCCGUGGUAGAUGAUGGCCAAUGUGUACCUCUUGGGGUUAGGCCAAGCUCUCAC